rnacentral:rRNA from 1 species
GUAGGGUGCGAGCGUUAAUCGGAAUUACUGGGCGUAAAGCGUGCGCAGGCGGUUUGUUAAGUCUGAUGUGAAAGCCCCGGGCUCAACCUGGGAAUGGCAUUGGAAACUGGCAAGCUUGAGUAUGGCAGAGGGGGGUGGAAUUCCGCGUGUAGCAGUGAAAUGCGUAGAGAUGCGGAGGAACACCGAUGGCGAAGGCAGCCCCCUGGGCCAAUACUGACGCUCAGGCACGAAAGCGUGGGGAGCAAACAGGAUUAGAUACCCUGGUAGUCCACGCCCUAAACGAUGCUCACUAGGUGUUGGGGAAGCGAUUCCUUGGUACCGUAGCUAACGCGUGAAGUGAGCCGCCUGGGGAGUACGGCCGCAAGGUUA